GUAUACCGUCACCAGCUCUGGAGGAACAUAUAGCUUACCUUCAUCACCCAUCACAGGAUCACAAACAAAUUUAAGUUUGGGGUUGACAGAUCGAAGCUUAUCAACGACUUUCAGUACUGUGUUCAAAAAGGAGACCGAACCAAUAUAACCUGUCAGCAGAUGAGUAUAAUAUAACAGACCAUUGGCUUCAAGACCUUCUAUUAAUUCCCACAAUUGUUCUCCAUUUAAAACCUGUCCCUUAAAGGUUGGGUAUCCUGUGUGAUUUGAGAACUGUACAGAAUUGAUUGGGUCCACAUCAUAGCCCAACAGUUGGAGGGGGAAUACUGCUGACUUGUUGCCCACAUAUCCCUGAACAGUAUGCGACUGAAUGCUGAGGACACGACCGGUAUCCGAUGGAAUUGCUAACACCAGGAUCGGUGGGCGGGCCAUGUGCAAUUGCUUCAAGCACCUGGUUCUGAAAUUUGACAAGCUUCGGAUUGAACUGGAUCCAAUUCGAGUGAUGAGUGG
rnacentral:misc_RNA from 1 species